GGCUAUUCCCUGCCAGUAGCAAUGCAGGGGAGGAAGCUGCAGCAGCCAGAAGAAUAGAGUUCCCUGCCGCCCAGCAGAUCGGCUGCCACAUUUCUCCCCUGGCUGGCUGGACACUUUUUGCAGCAGAAGAAAAAGAUUUUGUAAUGAUGGAGCAAAGGGACCAUAUCAAGAGGCUAUAAAGAAAACAGCAUCAAAGACGGGCCGGAGGAAUAAAGGAGCCUCUUUGCUGAUCCGCAGCUGAGCUGGGCAGGCUUAUAAAAGAUAAAUAAUGCUGACAUUACAAAGCUUUGGCUAAUUCAUUUUUCUCCUUGUCACCACUUGGGAUAAUUGGCCUCCACAACAAGUGUAGGGACGGGGAGAAAAAGGGAAGGAGGUCGGCUCCUUUCCUCAUAGACGGUGUGUUGCGUUUUUUCUUCGAGGUACAAGUUGGAUUAGACGGCGUGUUACGCUGCUGAUAAAUAUAGAGAGCGCGAUCCAAACGCUUCCCCUUCUAAUCCGAAGAGCAGAGCUUGUCAGUGAAUAGCUCAAGGGCCUGUGGAUCAAGCGAGGCCUAGUUGCCGUCUCCAUGACAACGAGCCCUGCGCUACGAGUCAAGGCUUCACCUGGACGCUUUGCAGAUAUGAAGCCUUCAAGGAAGUUUUGCUCAGUUUGACGUGCCCGUACGGUACAGGCAGGAGCCGGGUGGCAGGCAACAGUUGUCUCUGCUGCCGCAUCGGCACUCAGCAGCGUCUCCUGUUCUUGUGAAGGCUGUCUUUUUAUCUAUAAAGAAAUCCAGCUCUUUACAUAGCAGGGGUGUGUUUAUUUAUUGCCCCUUGGCUGAAAGCAAGAUGCUUCUCAGCCACCAGUGAAAGGGCUGCAUUUCUUUUUAUUCCGACAAAAGUGCAAACACCUCCUCAUGGAGAUCAAAUUGUAGUCAGGGGGCCACUGGCAUACCACAGAGAGGGCCUCACCUCGAAGCUUCAAGGUUCUCCAUGAAUUUGUCUACUUCCCUUGUAAGGCUUUCUAAGCUAGCUAGCCAAUCAAUCAAUUUUUUAUUAAGAACCCAGAAUUUGUAUACACAAAGAUAAUCGGAUAAUUUGUCUACUGCAAACAAAUCUAAACAGAACCAGCAGAACAGUAAUUAAAUGCCUGGAAGAAGUAACAGAAAUCCAUGACACAAAACAAGGAAGAAUCUGAAGAAUCACCACAUCUUGUGGAACCAAAUUCCAUGUAUUAAUUAUUUGCUGUAUGAAGAAGUACUCGCUUUUGUCUGUGCAUAAUUAAACUAUGGAAUGUAUUGCCAAGA